UCUGGAGAACUUUGAAAUGCCCAAAAACCCGCUUCCCAAGCUGAAGGUCGCGGGUUCGAAUCCCGUUUCCCGCUCCA
rnacentral:tRNA from 1 species